CUCAAAGGAAUUGACGGGGGCCCGCACAAGCGGUGGAGCAUGUGGUUUAAUUCGAUGAUACGCGAGGAACCUUACCAGGGCUUAAAUGUAGUCUGACAGGUCUGGAAACAGACUUUUCUUCGGACAGAUUACAAGGUGCUGCAUGGUUGUCGUCAGCUCGUGCCGUGAGGUGUCAGGUUAAGUCCUAUAACGAGCGCAACCCCUGUGGUUAGUUGCCAGCGAGUAAUGUCGGGAACUCUAGCCAGACUGCCGGUGCAAACCGCGAGGAAGGUGGGGAUGACGUCAAAUCAUCACGGCCCUUACGUCCUGGGCCACACACGUGCUACAAUGGUAGGGACAGAGAGCAGCCACUUCGCGAGAAGGAGCGAAUCUACAAACCCUAUCACAGUUCGGAUCGCAGUCUGCAACUCGACUGCGUGAAGCUGGAAUCGCUAGUAAUCGCAUAUCAGCCAUGAUGCGGUGAAUACGUUCCCGGGCCUUGUACACACCGCCCGUCAAGCCAUGGAAGCCGGGGGUACCUGAAGUCGGUCACCGCAAGGAGCCGCCUAGGGUAAAACUGGUAACUGGGGCUAAGUCGUAACAAGGUAACCGUA
rnacentral:rRNA from 1 species